rnacentral:ncRNA from 1 species
CGUCUCCUCCAUGUCUCCAAGAUGUGGAUUGAGCCCGCCAGUCGAGCGGGUUUUAUUUU